rnacentral:rRNA from 1 species
UACGGGGGAGCAAGCGUUGUUCGGAUUUACUGGGCGUAAAGGGCGCGUAGGCGGCCACUGCAAGUCAGUUGUGAAAUCUCCGGGCUUAACCCGGAAAGGUCAACUGAUACUGCAGGGCUAGAGUGCAGAAGGGGCAACUGGAAUUCUCGGUGUAGCGGUGAAAUGCGUAGAUAUCAGGAGGAACACCGGUGGUGUAGACGGCUCGUCUGGACCGUAACUGACGCUGAGGCACGAAAGCGUGGGUAGCAAACAGG